rfam:Gossypium raimondii Chr02_contig_223, whole genome shotgun sequence.
CUUGAGGAAGCACUUUGUCCACGUGGACACAAAGUGCUCCCUCAAGGAAGCGUUUUCUGUCCACAUGGACAAAGAGCUUCCUUGAGG